rnacentral:misc_RNA from 1 species
GCACUUUCAAAGCUAUUCAUUGCAUCCAAUAUUCUACUACUGAGUAAUAGGAACAAAAGCAUAGUUCAACAAUCAAGUUCCUAUGCGAUCGUCAUUCAAUGUGGUUGUUGAAUGCCGUAUCAUAUGGUAUAGUUGGCUUUUUUCAGUCUUCUGCAUGACUUGUAGAGUAAUAUCUCACAAUGAUUUAACUGCUACAUUGAGCUCAAUGCGCAAGGCCGUCUAUUACGAAGAUGCUCCUCGAGGUCCAGGCUUUCCGUAGCCUAGACUGAUAAGUUUUUGCACCAACUUUUUCUCAGCAGCUGCCUCAAGCAUGGGGCUGUUCUUGGGGAUAUUAGAAGCAAGUACGACAUUGAUUCCAGUCUUAAGAACUAUUCUACGGGCAAUACCAGCUCCUGUAUUAUCAGAUGAUCCCCCUGUCAACGAACUCACGCUAACAGUAUUGCCAGGUCUUGUUGGAGCAGCUGCAUACAAAUCCCCAAGUUUGGUGGAGUUGCAACCAAUCCAUGCAUAUAUCUGAUUCUGAAGACGAAUGAUCUGAAAGUAGAGAGUAGCAUCGUUAACGACUUCAGAGAAGCACGUGACUUGCACGCGACUUCCAUCAUCGCCUUCUUCUGCAACUUUCAACUGAUUCAUUGUGUCAGUAACAACGUCAACUCUUCCAUCAGAGGAGGAGGACGGUGGUGAUUCCUCCAUUUUUUCAGUUGAAAUUGAAGAAACGAAUUAGGGAAAUUCAAAAUUUCUAGGGUUUAGCAGAGGAUUUUGGAGGGAUUUGAAAGAGUUACGGGUACCGGAUGGAAAAAA